rnacentral:rRNA from 1 species
ACUGCAGUGCCGUAGCGAAGGUGUUAAGUGAGCCGCCUGGGAAGUACGACCGCAAGGUUGAAAUGAAAAUUGGAAUUGUAAAUUGUUGAUUUUCAUCAACAAACUUAAGGGAAAGAAAAUUAUCCUUAUCAAUUAAUUAUAGGAGUAGUUUUCCCCAAUUUGGCGGGGGAGCACACCAGGGGUGGAGGCUGCGGUUCAAUUGGAUUCAACGCCAGGAACCUCACCCGCGAAGACAGCAGGAUGAGGGUCAUUCUGAAGGGAUUACCUGACAAGCUGAGAAGUGCUGCAUGGCCGUCGCCAGUUCGUGCCGUGAGGUGUCAUGCUAAGUCAUGAAACGAACGAGACCCGUACCGCUAGUUGCUACUGCUUUCUCCGGAAGGCAGGCACUCUAGCGGGACCGCUGGUGCUAAACCAGAGGAAGGAGCGGUCGACGGCAGGUCCGUAUGGCCUGAAUUUGCGGGGCUACACGCGGCCUACAAUGCGUAGGACAAUGGGAUGCAACACCGUAAGGUGAAGCCAACCUCCUAAACCUACGCCCAGUUCGGAUCGAGGGCUGCAACCCGCCCUCGUGAAGCCGGAAUCCCUAGUAAGCGAAGGUCAUCAACAGUGCAAGUUCUUAGAUGAAUGAUUCCACGAAGUUGAACGUGGACGCAGCACAAUGAUAUGAAUUUUGCACGAGUGAAAUCUUUCGCUGAAUAAGUCCCUGCUCCUUGCACACACCGCCCGU